AGUGAACGCUGGCGGUAGGCCUAACACAUGCAAGUCGAACGGCAGCACAGUAAGAGCUUGCUCUUACGGGUGGCGAGUGGCGGACGGGUGAGGAAUACAUCGGAAUCUACUUUUUCGUGGGGGAUAACGUAGGGAAACUUACGCUAAUACCGCAUACGACCUACGGGUGAAAGCAGGGGAUCUUCGGACCUUGCGCGACUGAAUGAGCCGAUGUCGGAUUAGCUAGUUGGCGGGGUAAAGGCCCACCAAGGCGACGAUCCGUAGCUGGUCCGAGAGGAUGAUCAGCCACACUGGAACUGAGACACGGUCCAGACUCCUACGGGAGGCAGCAGUGGGGAAUAUUGGGCAAUGGGCGCAAGCCUGAUCCAGCAAUACCGCGUGAGUGAAGAAGGCCUUCGGGUUGUAAAGCCCUUUUGUUGGGAAAGAAAAGCAGCAGGUUAAAACCCCGCUGUUCUGACGGUACCCAAAGAGUAAGCACCGGCUAACUUCGUG
rnacentral:rRNA from 1 species